ACGGAAGGCAGCAGUGAGGAAUAUUGGUCAAUGGACGCAAGUCUGAACCAGCCAUGCCGCGUGCAGGAAUAAGGCCCUAUGGGUCGUAAACUGCUUUUGUGGUGGAGCAAUAAGUCGUACGUGUACGGCGAUGAGAGUACAUCACGAAUAAGCAUCGGCUAACUCCGUGCCAGCAGCCGCGGUAAUACGGAGGAUGCAAGCGUUAUCCGGAUUUAUUGGGUUUAAAGGGUGCGUAGGCUGUGGUCCAAGUCAGGGGUGAAGGCCCGGAGCUCAACUCCGGAACUGCCUUUGAUACUGGAUUGCUGGAAUACGGAUGCCGUGGGAGGAAUGAGUAGUGUAGCGGUGAAAUGCAUAGAUAUUACUCAGAACACCGAUUGCGAAGGCAUCUCACGAAUCCGUCAUUGACGCUGAGGCACGAAAGCGUGGGGAUCAAACAGGAUUAGAUACCCUGGUA
rnacentral:rRNA from 1 species